rnacentral:rRNA from 1 species
CCUACGGGUGGCAGCAGUGGGGAAUUUUGGACAAUGGGGGCAACCCUGAUCCAGCAAUGCCGCGUGUGCGAAGAAGGCCUUCGGGUUGUAAAGCACUUUUUAGAAAAGAAUGGUAUCUGAAGAAUAAGGACCGGCUAACUACGUGCCAGCAGCCGCGGUAAUACGUAGGGUUCGAGCGUUAAUCGGAAUUAUUGGGCGUAAAGCGUGCGCAGGCGGAUAUACAAGAUAGAUGUGAAAUCCUUGAGCUUAACUUAAGAACUGCAUAUAUGACUGUAUAACUAGAGUGUAUCAGAGGGGGGUAGAAUUCCAUGUGUAGCAGUGAAAUGCGUAGAGAUGUGGAGGAAUACCGAUGGCGAAGGCAGCCCCCUGGAAACACUGACGCUCAUGCACGAAAGCGUGGGGAGCAAACAGGAUUAGAUACCCUUGUAGUC